GAGAGCCAAAUGAAUUGAAAGAUUCAUGUUCGGUUUGGGAAGAGAUCGUAUAAGUUAUGGGCAUGAGUAUAGGUCCAACUUUUU
rnacentral:ncRNA from 1 species